rnacentral:rRNA from 1 species
UAGCAUAUCAAUAAGCGGAGGAAAAGAAACUAACAAGGAUUCCCUUAGUAACUGCGAGUGAAGAGGGAAAAGCUCAAAUUUAAAAUCUGGCAGUGUUUCACUGUCCGAGUUGUAACCUAGAGAAGUGUAACCUGUGCUGGACCGUGUACAAGUCUCCUGGAAUGGAGUAUCACAGAGGGUGAGAAUCCCGUCUUUGACAUGGACCGCCAGUGCAUUAUGGUUGUGCUCUCAACGAGUCGAGUUGUUUGGGAAUGCAGCUCUAAAUGGGUGGUAAAUUCCAUCUAAAGCUAAAUAUUGGCGAGAGACCGAUAGCGAACAAGUACCGUGAGGGAAAGAUGAAAAGAACUUUGGAAAGAGAGUUAAACAGUAUGUGAAAUUGUUGAAAGGGAAACGUUUGAAGUCAGUCAUGUUGGCUGGGGAUCAGCCUUACAUUUAUGUUGGGUGUACUUCCUGGUUGACGGGCCAACAUCAGUUUUGACUGCCAGAAAAAGGCCAAGGGAAUGUGGCACCUUUGGGUGUGUUAUAGCUUUUGGUCGUAUGUGGUGGUUGGGACUGAGGAAAGCAGUGCGCCGAAAGGCAGGGUUUCGACCACAUUCGCACUGAGGAUGUUGGCAUAAUGGCUUUAAGCGACCCGUCUUGAAACACGGACCAAGGAGUCUAACAUGCAUGCGAGUGUUUGGGUGGAAAACCCUUACGCGUAAUGAAAGUGAAAGUUGAGAUCCCUGUCGUGGGGAGCAUCGACGCCCGGACCAGAACUUUUGGGACGGAUCUGCGGUAGAGCACGUAUGUUGGGACCCGAAAGAUGGUGAACUAUGCCUGAAUAGGGUGAAGCCAGAGGAAACUCUGGUGGAGGCUCGUAGCGAUUCUGACGUGCAAAUCGAUCGUCAAAUUUGGGUAUAGGGGCGAAAGACUAAUCGAACCAUCUAGUAGCUGGUUCCUGCC